AGAGCGAACGCUGGCGGCAGGCCUAAUACAUGCAAGUCGAACGGAUCCUUCGGGAUUAGUGGCGGACGGGUGAGUAACACGUGGGAACGUGCCCUUUGGUUCGGAACAACUCAGGGAAACUUGAGCUAAUACCGGAUGUGCCCUUCGGGGGAAAGAUUUAUCGCCAUUGGAGCGGCCCGCGUCUGAUUAGCUAGUUGGUGGGGUAAAGGCCUACCAAGGCUACGAUCAGUAGCUGGUCUGAGAGGAUGAUCAGCCACACUGGGACUGAGACACGGCCCAGACUCCUACGGGAGGCAGCAGUAGGGAAUCUUGCGCAAUGGGCGAAAGCCUGACGCAGCCAUGCCGCGUGAAUGAUGAAGGUCUUAGGAUUGUAAAAUUCUUUCAGCGGGGACGAUAAUGACGGUACCGCAGAAGAACGCCCGGCUAACUUCGUGCCAGCAGCCGC
rnacentral:rRNA from 1 species